rnacentral:rRNA from 1 species
GUGGAUUAGAUACCCUGGUAGUCCACGCCGUAAACGAUGGAUACUAGCUGUUGGGCGCAAGUUCAGUGGCUAAGCGAAAGUGAUAAGUAUCCCACCUGGGGAGUACGUUCGCAAGAAUGAAACUCAAAGGAAUUGACGGGGGCCCGCACAAGCGGUGGAGCAUGUGGUUUAAUUCGAUGAUACGCGAGGAACCUUACCAAGGCUUAAAUGUAGAUUGACCGGUUUGGAAACAGACCUUUCGCAAGACAAUUUACAAGGUGCUGCAUGGCCGUCGUCAACU